rfam:Oryza glumipatula chromosome 2, whole genome shotgun sequence.
CCCGGUUUCCGUGCAUAACGUUUGGCCGUCCGUCUUAUUUUAAGAAAAUAUAAAAAAAAUUAAAAAGAUAAGUCACGCACAAAGUAUUAAUCAUGUUUUAUCAUCUAACAACAAUAAAAAUAUGAAUUAUAAAAAAAUUUCAUAUAAGACGGACAGUCAAAGUUAGACACGGAAACACAUGGUUUGUCUGGGA